AGUGAACGCUGGCGGUAGGCCUAACACAUGCAAGUCGAACGGCAGCACAGUAAGAGCUUGCUCUUACGGGUGGCGAGUGGCGGACGGGUGAGGAAUACAUCGGAAUCUACUUUUUCGUGGGGGAUAACGUAGGGAAACUUACGCUAAUACCGCAUACGACCUACGGGUGAAAGCAGGGGAUCUUCGGACCUUGCGCGAUUGAAUGAGCCGAUGUCGGAUUGGCUAGUUGGCGGGGUAAAGGCCCACCAAGGCGACGAUCCGUAGCUGGUCUGAGAGGAUGAUCAGCCACCCUGGAACUGAGACACGGUCCAGACUCCUACGGGAGGCAGCAGUGGGGAAUAUUGGACAAUGGGCGCAAGCCUGAUCCAGCCAUACCGCGUGGGUGAAGAAGGCCUUCGGGUUGUAAAGCCCUUUUGUUGGGAAAGAAAAGCAGCAGGUUAAUACCCCGCUGUUCUGACGGUACCCAAAGAAUAAGCACCGGCUAACUUCGUG
rnacentral:rRNA from 1 species